rnacentral:rRNA from 1 species
GGAUUAGAUACCCUGGUAGUCCACGCCCUAAACGAUGUGCGCUAGAUGUUGGGGGACUUGUCCCUCGGUGUCGUAGCUAACGUGUUAAGCGCACCGCCUGGGGAGUACGGCCGCAAGGUUAAAACUCAAAGGAAUUGACGGGGGCCCGCACAAGCGGUGGAGCAUGUGGUUUAAUUCGACGCAACGCGCAGAACCUUACCAGCCCUUGACAUGGUAGUUUUGGUUUGGAGAGAUCCAACCUUUCCUUCGGGAGGCUACUGCAGGUGCUGCAUGGCUGUCGUCAGCUCGUGCCG